GACGAACGCUGGCGGCGUGCUUAACACAUGCAAGUCGAACGAAGAGCGAUGGAAGCUUGCUUCUAUCAAUCUUAGUGGCGAACGGGUGAGUAACGCGUAAUCAACCUGCCCUUCAGAGGGGGACAACAGUUGGAAACGACUGCUAAUACCGCAUACGAUCUAAACUCGGCAUCGAGGAUAGAUGAAAGGUGGCCUCUACAUGUAAGCUAUCACUGAAGGAGGGGAUUGCGUCUGAUUAGCUAGUUGGAGGGGUAACGGCCCACCAAGGCGAUGAUCAGUAGCCGGUCUGAGAGGAUGAACGGCCACAUUGGGACUGAGACACGGCCCAGACCCCUACGGGAGGCAGCAGUGGGGAAUCUUCCGCAAUGGACGAAAGUCUGACGGAGCAACGCCGCGUGAGUGAUGACGGCCUUCGGGUUGUAAAGCUCUGUUAAUCGGGACGAAAGGCCUUCUUGCGAAUAGUGAGAAGGAUUGACGGUACCGGAAUAGAAAGCCACGGCUAACUACGUG
rnacentral:rRNA from 1 species